rnacentral:tRNA from 1 species
GGGCGGCUAGCUCAGUUGGUUAGAGCGCCGUCUUCACACGGCGGAGGUCGCCAGUUCGAGUCUGGCGCCGCCCA